GACGAACGCUGGCGGCGUGCUUAACACAUGCAAGUCGAACGGAAAGGCCCUGCUUUUGUGGGGUGCUCGAGUGGCGAACGGGUGAGUAACACGUGAGUAACCUGCCCUUGACUUUGGGAUAACUUCAGGAAACUGGGGCUAAUACCGGAUAGGAGCUCCUGCUGCAUGGGGGGGGUUGGAAAGUUUCGGCGGUUGGGGAUGGACUCGCGGCUUAUCAGCUUGUUGGUGGGGUAGUGGCUUACCAAGGCGUUGACGGGUAGCCGGCCUGAGAGGGUGACCGGCCACAUUGGUACUGAGAUAGGGCCCAGACUCCUACGGGAGGCAGCAGUGGGGAAUAUUGCACAAUGGGCGGAAGCCUGAUGCAGCAACGCCGCGUGCGGGAUGACGGCCUUCGGGUUGUAAACCGCUUUCGCCUGUGACGAAGCGUGAGUGACGGUAAUGGGUAAAGAAGCACCGGCUAACUACGUG
rnacentral:rRNA from 1 species